AAGUACAACAUCUAAAGCAGCGGGUACAAACAUACUGCAGAUUCUAAUACCUCCCCAAAACCCUCGUCUCCUAAAUCCAGUAAAGAACUAUCCAAUAUUUUGUUCUCAACAACAAUGGCGUCUCGCUGCAGAACAAUCUCCAGACCAGCAAUCAACCUUUUCCGAUCCGCCGCCGCGAAGCCGGCGACCACUCCCGCCUUUUCCUUUCAACCAACACGCUCCUCUUCAGCUCUUUUCUCAAGGCCAAUGCCACAAAUUGCAGCACUACAGUCUCUAUUGCCUCUACACUCAGCCAUUUCGUCGGCUCGGCUUACCUCUUGUCUAGGCGCAGACACGUGCCGAUCUUUGUCUCAGGGUAUGCUCUGCAUUACCACCCCUGGAGUUUGAUACAAUUUUUCGUAAUGUUUCUGAAUGUUCUGGGACCAGCCUACCACCUGAUUAGUUAGGCUUCAAUUGUCUACAUUUGCGGGCGCACAAGUAUUAAGAAAGAGAAAUAGGGCUCUCUGUGCCCCGAUAACAGAUGAAAUGUCGAAAAGGUUGAAGAAGUUACUUGAUUUUGAUGGAUCGUUGCUGCUUAUUAAUUAAAAAUAUACUUCGAUUAAAUUGUUAAGACAAUUUUGUAUGAGCAAUAUUUCUGGAUUUUUCAUUACUUUGGAUGGCAUCUCUCUGUAUGGAACUUCUCUUGCACUCCCAAAUUUAACCUGUUCGGCAUAUUUUCCUCGUUUGUUGCAAUGAUGUAGCUUUCGAACUUAGAUGUGUGUAUUUUUCACUUUUAAGAAUGAUGUGCUUUCUUGAUUGGGUAUUUAGCGAUAUCGAA